rnacentral:rRNA from 1 species
CCUUCGGGGUGCUCGAGUGGCGAACGGGUGAGUAACACGUGGGUGAUCUGCCCUGCACUUUGGGAUAAGCCUGGGAAACUGGGUCUAAUACCGAAUACACCUUGCUGGUCGCAUGGCCUGGUGGGGGAAAGCUUUUGCGGUGUGGGAUGGGCCCGCGGCCUAUCAGCUUGUUGGUGGGGUGAUGGCCUACCAAGGCGACGACGGGUAGCCGGCCUGAGAGGGUGUCCGGCCACACUGGGACUGAGAUACGGCCCAGACUCCUACGGGAGGCAGCAGUGGGGAAUAUUGCACAAUGGGCGCAAGCCUGAUGCAGCGACGCCGCGUGAGGGAUGACGGCCUUCGGGUUGUAAACCUCUUUCAGUACCGACGAAGCGCAAGUGACGGUAGGUACAGAAGAAGCACCGGCCAACUACGUGCCAGCAGCCGCGGUAAUACGUAGGGUGCGAGCGUUGUCCGGAAUUACUGGGCGUAAAGAGCUCGUAGGUGGUUUGUCGCGUUGUCCGUGAAAACUCACAGCUUAACUGUGGGCGUGCGGGCGAUACGGGCAGACUGGAGUACUGCAGGGGAGACUGGAAUUCCUGGUGUAGCGGUGGAAUGCGCAGAUAUCAGGAGGAACACCGGUGGCGAAGGCGGGUCUCUGGGCAGUAACUGACGCUGANGAGCGAAAGCGUGGGGAGCGAACAGGAUUAGAUACCCUGGUAGUCCACGCCGUAAACGGUGGGUACUAGGUGUGGGUUUCCUUCCUUGGGAUCCGUGCCGUANCUAACGCAUUAAGUACCCCGCCUGGGGAGUACGGCCGCAAGGCUAAAACUCAAAGGAAUUGACGGGGGCCCGCACAAGCGGCGGAGCAUGUGGAAUUAUUUNNAUGCAACGCGAAGAACCUUACCUGGGUUUGACNUGCACAGGACGCGUCUAGAGAUAGGCGUUCCCUUGUGGNCUGUGUGCAGUGGUGCAUGGCUGUCGUCAGCUCNUGUCGUGAGAUGUUGGGUUAAGUCCCNCAANAACCGCACCCCUGGUCUCAUGUUUNCA